rnacentral:rRNA from 1 species
UACAGGGGGGGCAAGCGUUGUUCGGAAUUACUGGGCGUAAAGGGCUCGUAGGCGGCCAACUAAGUCACACGUGAAAUCCCCAGGCUUAACCUGGGAACUGCGUGUGAUACUGGAUGGCUUGAAUUCGGGAGAGGGAUGCAGAAUUCCAGGUGUAGCGGUGAAAUGCGUAGAUAUCAGGAGGAACACCGAUGGCGAAGGCAGGUCUCUGGGCCACUACUGACGCUGAGAAGCGAAAGCAUGGGGAGCGAACAGG